UGGGAAAAGACGCUGGAAAUGAAAAAUGGAAUUUGACGAGAUUAAUUGUGAACCCCAGGGGUUUGUUCAAAUGAGUUGCUUUUAUUGGUAGCCAUCACCCUUGUAGAUUCCUCCCCUACCCUACAGGACCUAUGAUGUCACUUCUGAGGGGAUGUUUCUGGUGUUUAAUGAAUCGUAGCAGUAGUUAAGGCAAGUGGCUGGUGGUAUAGUUCGGAGACGCUUUCUGUUUUGCGGUUGAGACAUUAAAAUGGAAAAUCUGAGAGCAGAACUGAUUUCUCUGGGAAUGCACAUACAUGGUGAGAGCUCACAGCGGACCUGUCAACAUCUUCUUCUCUGCUCCUCCUCGGGGAGAUUUUGUCUCCUGACGCACUUUUGAAUGAGACUUCCACCAGUGCUGAGUCGCGUACCUUUUACAGGAAAAUAUUUGCCCAGAUGAAGUAAUCUCCUUCGGAAUUUGAGAUUUCUCUCUGAAAAUGCAUUUAAACUUGCAAGCUGUGAAGGAUCAUAAUAAAUUAUUUACAAAGAUCUUUCAGACAGUUGGAAGAUCUUGGGAAUUUUCUGGACUGUAGGUUUGGGGAAAUCAGGCAGCCUGGAGAUUUCUGCCCCCACAUAGGUGGGCCUUGGGGGAUUUGCCGUAUCCUCAGGUGAGAGGGACUGUGGAAUGUCGUUCAUUUAUAGAGCUGCCUAAUCAAGAUCUUAUUUCUGGGAGUUCCCACUGGGACACAGCAGGUUAAGGAUCCAGUGUUCCUACAGCUGUGGCAUAGGUUGCACCUGCCACUCCGAUUCGAUCCCUGACCUGGAGACUUCCAUGUGUCACAGAUGCAGCUGAAAGAAGUAGAUCUUAUUUCUGGGACCUUUUAAUAAUUAACAUUUAUUGUACAUACAUUGAUGAAACUGGAAAAUAGUUACAGUGGAGUAGUGGGACUAAUUUUAAUGUCCCACUUUAAUUUUAACUUAAAAAUAAAGUUUUAAUUUAUAAUGUUAUACUACGGUAAUACUAUAGUAUUACUACACAGACAACACUGUGAGGCUAAGGGUCUGUAACCUUCAGUGUAUUUCUUAGUUCCGAAGGCAAGUGGAGAUGCUCUGUAAUCAGUCCUUGAAAUUCUUUCCUUUUCCCAAGUGGACCCGUGAUUGUCCAAAUGUUUCUCUAAGGAAGGGCCCCUUAAGUAGAGGCAGCGUCUUCCGUCCUGAAAGCAGAAGAGAUGCUCUAUGUGCAAUGGCAGCCGUGAGGUGGCAUCCUUCCAUUUGUCAUUCUUAGGUGGUAGAAUCUCCGCAGCCGACCUUAGGAGAUUGGGGACGGAUGCAGCGAUGCCCAUGCCGAGGCGCUGAGACCUCAGGGCCUCCUCUGCCCUGAGCACGGCAGCACUGCCUCUCCAUCCUUUUCAUACCUUUAACUACUCCUUUCAAAACUGUAAAAAAUGCCCCGUUGUCCUUCCCAUCCUCCUCCUCCUCCCUCUCCUCCCCUCUCUUCUCCUCUCCUUUCUUUCCCUUUUUUCUUCAAACGUGAGUGAGUACACUCGUGCAGGCUAGAGAGCAUGCCAGACGUCAGAACACAGGGCUCCCUUGAGACGGUGAUCACGAUGUGUUGAGACAGUCAUGAGCUCUGGGCCGUAAAGGAGGAGAUGUGGGUGUGGGCUGAAAGGUGACAAGUUCCAUUUUUGCUGCACUGAUCUUUUAAGAGCUGGGGAGCCGUUCAAAUCAUGGCACCUCGUAGGUCUUUGUAAAGAUGAGGAAAGAGGAUGAGAACUAGAGGUAAACAUUUGGGUUGCUUGAUGAAAGGGCUGAAUCUAACCAAAUGAAUUGUUACAAGGAUAAAUAAAAGUUCUUAAAGGUAGAGGCAGGAAAACCACCUGUAUAAAUCCUGAUUAGAAGGGAUACAACUUAGAAGAUAUGUGUUUCAACUGAGAAUAAGUUGGCAAUAGAAGCUAACUUGUUCAGGCAGUUUGCAAAAGAAUGAAUGUUUUCUUGGAUUAUAUUAUAAGAAGCACAGGAUCUAGCAUUAAGGAGGUGAUAGUGCUGCUGUAUUUCAGGCUGGUGAAGAGUACAGCUAGAGUAAUGCAUUUAGUUCUCAGCUCAUAAGCUGUACAAAAAUAGGGGGCAGGCCAGAAAUGGCCUGUGUGCUCUCAUUUGCCAACCCACACUCUGUAGACUUCUGUUCCACCAAACAGCCGAUUAUUAUAUCUAAGCCUACUUCUAGGUGUGCAGUCUUGGCCAAGGUUGUUAGGACACUAUUAAUACUCACGUCAAAGGGUUACGGUGAAGAUUAAAUAUGGAAGCACAGGUCAAUAUCUGGAUACAGUUGUCUGACACAUAGUAGCCUGAGAUACCAACUAAAUGGAAGCCAGCACGAGUGUUCUUUGGUCAUGUGACUACGGGUAAUCUCACCACCAUUCUGGGCCUCUGCUUUUCUGAAAAGGGAUAUGAGGCUGAAUAAGAUGAUUCCAGAAGUCACUUCCUCCUGAUGGCAAGUGUCUGAGAAGAACACCUACAGAUCUCUUCCUAGUUCUUUCUUUCUGGUCAUGGGAGCCCACUGCCAUCACAGGGCAAGCGGAAGUGUCAGUUACUAUGGGAGCAGCCCUCACAUGGUGAUGGGUGGGCGGUUGGUAGGCAGUCACCCCCUCUCUGGGAUAACUCUAGAGCAUGUCCGGCCUUUCUCAUAGAGUGUCCCUGCAGGGCUGCGCCUCGCUUGUCUUUGGUGGUGGCUGCCUUGUGAACUCACAUUUUACUGGCUUCUUUCCCUUCCCUGUCUCAUUUCUUCACUCCCCUACCAGUGUUUUCUGAUGUUACCUCCUGUGGGAGGCAGAAUAAUGGUCCCUGCAAGGUAUCCGUGUCCUAAACCAGAAACCGGUGAAUAUGCUACCACCCACAGCAAAGGGACUUGGCACAUGUGGGUUAAAUUCAGGUUCUUGGGCUGAGAGAGUGGCCUGAAUUAUCCAGGUGGGCCCAGUAUAAUCAAUACUGUCCUCAGGGCUGAAAAAGGGAAGGGGAACGUUCAGAUUCAGAAAAGGAGAGAUGAUGAGAGAAACAGAGUUUUCAAUGUGCUACGCUGCUGUCUUCGAAGGUGGAAAAAGGAGCCAUAAACCAAGAAAUGCAGAUGGCUUCUAGAAGCUAGAAAAGGCAAGGAAAUGGAUUAUCUCCUGG
rnacentral:lncRNA from 1 species